rnacentral:rRNA from 1 species
UGACAAAACGACAGCGCGAUGUUAAUCCUCUAAGCUUGAGCGGUUGGUUUAAGAUCUAACACUGGCCGUCGUUUACAGCCACCAUGCGUCGAGCGGAUGACGGGAGCUGCUCCUUGACCGGGGACGGGUGAUUGCCUAGAAUCUGCGUGGGGGACGUAUCGAAAGGAACGCUAAUACCGCAUACGUACCUACGGGAGAAAGCAGGGGACCUAUCGGGCCUUAUGCAGCUAUCAGAUAGAGCCUANGUCGGAUAAAGCUAGUAAGGUGGGAGUAAUGGCUACACCAAGGCGACGAUCCGUAAACUGGUCUGAGAGGAUAGAUNCAGUACACACUGNAACUAGAAGACACGGUCCAGACUACCUAACGAGGANGCAGCAGUAGGGGACAUAUUGGACAAUGGGUCGAAAGCCUAGACUCCAGCCAUGCCGCGUGUAGUGNACGAAGGUCUAACGGAUAAGUAACAGCAACCUAUAAAACGUAAAGGGGAAAGCGAACACGGCGAGGCCANGUAAACGAUCUUAAAUAACCCCAUAAGCCUAGGUAAUAAGAACCAGGAUAUACCCGGAACCAAAGAAACAUAAAAGNCACCCAGGGGCAAAACAUCCUAAGAAGGCCCAAGCAAAGCCCAGGCAGAGUAAAUACCCAGACGAGGAUAGCAAAGCCGGAUACAUCCCGGAAAUUUAANCUAGGAGCGGUAAAAGCGCCNGCGGUAAGUAGGGUAUAGGAAAAGUUAGGGUAAGGAUGAAAGCCCCCNGAGGGCUUCAAACCANNGAGAAACCANGCAUUCCAAAAAACCAUGGNCGCAAAGCGCAAAAGAAGNAACCGGGCAGCACAAGGGGUAUGGGCUGGNAACAAUAUCCCCGGUGAGANACACAGNGUGAAACAGGACGGCAACAAUAUAAAAAGAAAAGGGACACACCCANAGAGUGGAAAAAAGGGAAACUCCCUCNUGAAUAGAGAAUAUGAGAGNCAAGNUCGCAAAGCGUAUGGAGUCGCAACCCGANAUANGAACCCCGGNAUCCGAGCCCGAAAAAANAAGUAAACUCAUAGAAAGGAGCUCCGCCAAAAGUGANAGACGAUGCAAUAACCCCGCCCGANGANAUGCGCACACCAAAAAG